rnacentral:rRNA from 1 species
GUCGAGUGAUCCUGCGCCGAAGAUUUCCGGGGCUAAAACUUACUACCGAAGCUACGGCAUCAGUAAUGAUGGGUAGGGGAGCUUCCCAUACGGGUUGAAGCAUGACCGUAAGGACAUGUGGACAGUACGGGAGUGAGAAUGUUGGCAUGAGUAGCGAGAUGUGGGUGAGAAUCCCACAGGCCGUAAACCCAAGGUUUCCAGGGGAAGGUUCGUCCGCCCUGGGUUAGUCGGGACCUAAGCUGAGGCCGAAAGGCGUAGGUGAUGGACAACAGGUUGAUAUUCCUGUACUACCGAUAACC